rnacentral:rRNA from 1 species
ACGAACGCUGGCGGCGUGCUUAACACAUGCACGUCGAACGCUGAAGCUCAGCUUUUGUUGGGUGGAUGAGUGGCGAACGGGUGAGUAACACGUGAGUAACCUGCCUCCUUCUUUGGGAUAACGCCCGGAAACGGGUGCUAAUACUGGAUAUUCACUGGUCUUCGCAUGGGGGUUGGUGGAAAGGGUUUUUCUGGUGGGGGAUGGGCUCGCGGCCUAUCAGCUUGUUGGUGGGGUGAUGGCCUACCAAGGCUUUGACGGGUAGCCGGCCUGAGAGGGUGACCGGUCACAUUGGGACUGAGAUACGGCCCAGACUCCUACGGGAGGGAGCAGUGGGGAAUAUUGCACAAUGGGCGCAAGCCUGAUGCAGCGACGCCGCGUGAGGGAUGGAGGCCUUCGGGUUGUGAACCUCUUUCGCUCAUGGUCAAGCCGCAACAAUGGUUGUGGUGAGGGUAGUGGGUAAAGAAGCGCCGGCUAACUACGUG